rnacentral:rRNA from 1 species
UACGUAGGGGGCAAGCGUUGUCCGGAUUUAUUGGGCGUAAAGAGCGUGUAGGCGGCUUGACAGGUCUGCUGUGAAAACUCGAGGCUCAACCUCGAGAUGUCGGCGGAAACCGUCUGGCUAGAGUCCGGAAGAGGAGAGUGGAAUUCCAGGUGUAGAGGUGAAAUUCGUAGAUAUUCGCAAGAACACCAGUGGCGAAGGCGGCUCACUGGCCCGAUACUGACGCUGAGGCACGAAAGCGUGGGGAGCGAACAGG